CCUAAGAGUUCUGGGCCGCACGCGCGCUACACUGACGGAGCCAACGAGUAUUAACCUUGGCCGAGAGGUCUGGGAAAUCUUGUGAAACUCCGUCGUGCUGGGGAUAGAGCAUUGUAAUUAUUGCUCUUCAACGAGGAAUUCCUAGUAAGCGCAAGUCAUCAGCUUGCGUUGAUUACGUCCCUGCCCUUUGUACACACCGCCCGUCGCUACUACCGAUUGAAUGGCUUAGUGAGGCCUCCGGAUUGGUUUAAAGAAGGGGGCAACUCCAUCUUGGAACCGAAAAGCUGGUCAAACUUGGUCAUUUAGAGGAAGUAAAAGUCGUAACAAGGUUUCCGUAGGUGAACCUGCGGAAGGAUCAUUACAGUAUUCUUUUUGCCAGCGCUUAAUUGCGCGGCGAAAAAACCUUACACACAGUGUUUUUUGUUAUUACAAGAACUCUUGCUUUGGUCUGGACUAGAAAUAGUUUGGGCCAGAGGUUUACUAAACUAAACUUCAAUAUUUAUAUUGAAUUGUUAUUUAUUUUAAUUGUCAAUUUGUUGAUUAAAUUCAAAAAAUCUUCAAAACUUUCAACAACGGAUCUCUUGGUUCUCGCAUCGAUGAAGAACGCAGCGAAAUGCGAUAAGUAAUAUGAAUUGCAGAUUUUCGUGAAUCAUCGAAUCUUUGAACGCACAUUGCGCCCUUUGGUAUUCCAAAGGGCAUGCCUGUUUGAGCGUCAUUUCUCUCUCAAACCUUCGGGUUUGGUAUUGAGUGAUACUCUUAGUCGAACUAGGCGUUUGCUUGAAAUGUAUUGCAUGAGUGGUACUGGAUAGUGCUAUAUGACUUUCAAUGUAUUAGGUUUAUCCACUCGUUGAAUAGUUUAAUGGUAUAUUUCUCGGUAUUCUAGGCUCGGCCUUACAUAUAACAACAGUUUGACCUCAAUCAG
rnacentral:rRNA from 1 species